rnacentral:rRNA from 1 species
UACGUAGGGGGCAAGCGUUGUCCGGAUUUAUUGGGCGUAAAGAGCGUGUAGGCGGCCAGACAGGUCCGUUGUGAAAACUCGAGGCUCAACCUCGAGACGCCGAUGGAAACCGUCUGGCUAGAGUCCGGAAGAGGAGAGUGGAAUUCCUGGUGUAGCGGUGAAAUGCGCAGAUAUCUGGAGGAACACCGGUGGCGAAGGCGGCAUCCUGGACCGACACUGACGCUGAGGAGCGAAAGCCAGGG